UACGGAGGAUCCAAGCGUUAUCCGGAUUUAUUGGGUUUAAAGGGUGCGUAGGCGGCCUGUUAAGUCAGGGGUGAAAGACGGUAGCUCAACUAUCGCAGUGCCCUUGAUACUGAUGGGCUUGAAUGGACUAGAGGUAGGCGGAAUGAGACAAGUAGCGGUGAAAUGCAUAGAUAUGUCUCAGAACACCGAUUGCGAAGGCAGCUUACUAGGGUCUUAUUGACGCUGAGGCACGAAAGCGUGGGGAUCAAACAGG
rnacentral:rRNA from 1 species